GAUGAACGCUGGCGGCGUGCCUAAUACAUGCAAGUCGAGCGAACGGACGAGAAGCUUGCUUCUCUGAUGUUAGCGGCGGACGGGUGAGUAACACGUGGAUAACCUACCUAUAAGACUGGGAUAACUUCGGGAAACCGGAGCUAAUACCGGAUAAUAUUUUGAACCGCAUGGUUCAAAAGUGAAAGACGGUCUUGCUGUCACUUAUAGAUGGAUCCGCGCUGCAUUAGCUAGUUGGUAAGGUAACGGCUUACCAAGGCAACGAUGCAUAGCCGACCUGAGAGGGUGAUCGGCCACACUGGAACUGAGACACGGUCCAGACUCCUACGGGAGGCAGCAGUAGGGAAUCUUCCGCAAUGGGCGAAAGCCUGACGGAGCAACGCCGCGUGAGUGAUGAAGGUCUUCGGAUCGUAAAACUCUGUUAUUAGGGAAGAACAUAUGUGUAAGUAACUGUGCACAUCUUGACGGUACCUAAUCAGAAAGCCACGGCUAACUACGUGCCAGCAGCCGCGGUAAUACGUAGGUGGCAAGCGUUAUCCGGAAUUAUUGGGCGUAAAGCGCGCGUANGCGGUUUUUAAAGUCUGAUGUGAAAGCCCACGGCUCAACCGUGGAGGGUCAUUGGAAACUGGAAAACUUGAGUGCAGAAGAGGAAAGUGGAAUUCCAUGUGUAGCGGUGAAAUGCGCAGAGAUAUGGAGGAACACCAGUGGCGAAGGCGACUUUCUGGUCUGUAACUGACGCUGAUGUGCGAAAGCGUGGGGAUCAAACAGGAUUAGAUACCCUGGUAGUCCACGCCGUAAACGAUGAGUGCUAAGUGUUAGGGGGUUUCCGCCCCUUAGUGCUGCAGCUAACGCAUUAAGCACUCCGCCUGGGGAGUACGACCGCAAGGUUGAAACUCAAAGGAAUUGACGGGGACCCGCACAAGCGGUGGAGCAUGUGGUUUAAUUCGAAGCAACGCGAAGAACCUUACCAAAUCUUGACAUCCUUUGACAACUCUAGAGAUAGAGCUUUCCCCUUCGGGGGACAAAGUGACAGGUGGUGCAUGGUUGUCGUCAGCUCGUGUCGUGAGAUGUUGGGUUAAGUCCCGCAACGAGCGCAACCCUUAAGCUUAGUUGCCAUCAUUAAGUUGGGCACUCUAAGUUGACUGCCGGUGACAAACCGGGGGAAGGUGGGGAUGACGUCAAAUCAUCAUGCCCCUUAUGAUUUGGGCUACACACGUGCUACAAUGGACAAUACAAAGGGCAGCGAAACCGCGAGGUCAAGCAAAUCCCAUAAAGUUGUUCUCAGUUCGGAUUGUAGUCUGCAACUCGACUACAUGAAGCUGGAAUCGCUAGUAAUCGUAGAUCAGCAUGCUACGGUGAAUACGUUCCCGGGUCU
rnacentral:rRNA from 1 species